AUGAAACUGCUCACUCACCAUCUGCUGAGCUCGCAUGUGUGGGGGGUGGGACCCCAUGGCUUCCCCCAGUGCCUCUAGGCUACCGAGGUCCGCUUCUGCCCCAUGGAGUUCAACCCCCAAUUUGUGGCGCCUAUGAUACCCAAAGUGGAAUGGGCGGCGUUCCUGAAGGUGGCUGAUAACUUGCACCUGAUCCAGGUGCCUAAAGGGCCGGUUGAGGGGUAUGAGGAGAAUAAAGAGUUUCUGAGGACCAUGUACCACUUGCUGCUGGAGGUGGAAGUGGUGGAGGGCACCGUGCAGUGCCUGGAGUCUGGACGUAUGUUCUCCAUCAGCCGCGGGAUCCCCAACAUGCUGCUGAGUGAGGACCAAUCUGAGAAUUGAUUGUGCCAGGCGCCAGUUUUUCUUGUUAUGACCGUGUGUAUUUUUGUUGUGUAUACCCUGUUUCCGAGUGCUCUUGAGCUCCAUAGUAUACAUUUUUUUCUCAUUAAAGGUUCAAAACCAAAAAAAAA